UAACGCGUGAGGAACCUGCCUUGAAGAGGGGGACAACAGUUGGAAACGACUGCUAAUACCGCAUGAUGCAUAAGGGUCGCAUGAUCUUUAUGCCAAAGAUUUAUCGCUUCAAGAUGGCCUCGCGUCUGAUUAGCUAGUUGGCGGGGUAACGGCCCACCAAGGCGACGAUCAGUAGCCGGACUGAGAGGUUGAACGGCCACAUUGGGACUGAGAUACGGCCCAGACUCCUACGGGAGGCAGCAGUGGGGAAUAUUGGGCAAUGGGCGCAAGCCUGACCCAGCAACGCCGCGUGAAGGAAGAAGGCUUUCGGGUUGUAAACUUCUUUUAAGAGGGAAGAGCAGAAGACGGUACCUCUAGAAUAAGCCACGGCUAACUACGUGCCAGCAGCCGCGGUAAUACGUAGGUGGCAAGCGUUGUCCGGAUUUACUGGGUGUAAAGGGCGUGCAGCCGGGUCUGCAAGUCAGAUGUGAAAUCCAUGGGCUCAACCCAUGAACUGCAUUUGAAACUGUAGAUCUUGAGUGUCGGAGGGGCAAUCGGAAUUCCUAGUGUAGCGGUGAAAUGCGUAGAUAUUAGGAGGAACACCAGUGGCGAAGGCGGAUUGCUGGACGAUAACUGACGGUGAGGCGCGAAAGUGUGGGGAGCAAACAGGAUUAGAUACCCUGGGUAGUCCACACUGUAAACGAUGAAUACUAGGUGU
rnacentral:rRNA from 1 species